ACAUGCUGACCGGCGGUCGUCACCAUCGUUCCCGCAGCAAGCAAGCAAGGUCUUCGUCAGUUUUCACACCGACGGCAUCCAUGCCAUGCCUCAACCCCCAGUUGCUCUUAGCAACGGCCGUCAAUGAUUGUCACAAGCCCAUGUGGCCAGAACGCUGACGCAGCCCAGCAGCCCAGCAACAGACGCAUCUACCAGCAUGCACCCGACGCGCACCUACCACUAGUAUCCAUCCAUCCAUCCAUACAUGCAACACCAGCAGUGGAUUGCCCAACUCAGCUUGGAACACAGCAUCUCACUGCACACAUACAUGUCAUACAUUAGUAAUGGUGUGGAAUUCAAGGUCGAGGGAUGACGAACAAGCAAGGAAGGAUGCAUGUACGGACCUCGCUCACCACCAAGGCCUGCCGAUGUUGACGCCGGUGGCAUUUUCUUUCUUGGCAUUCCGUGAGCAGAUCGAGC
rnacentral:lncRNA from 1 species